CCACAGUCCAGAAACCUGUUCAUCGUGGUUUUGUCAGAUGCCUUAAACUGGUUGCAAGUAAGAAUGUAACUGUAAGAGUGUUGUUUUCAGUAGGCUACAGUAAAUCUACAUCACAAAGUGUGUACAGAGAAUGAAUGAGUGAGGGUCACACGGUGACUGUGUAACUGUUGAAGGAAACCAGCACAAAUCAUAAAUGCAAGCACGCUUUAUUGAGCUUCCAGUCCAACUAUUAUGAUCUAUGUAACAACAAUGUACAUUCCACAUUUUGCAACACAACAAACAGAACAAAUAAACACUACAUAACACAACACAACCUCUACAGGUGUUAAAUAAGCACAGACUCAAGCAGUUGCAAAUGUUAUCAAAAUUUGCACAAAUGUUGCAAGUUUGUUUUGUUUUGAAAAUUAUUAAUAAAGGGGGAAAGUCAGUUCAGUCCUCGGAAAGGAAGGGGCUGAUAAUGGAUGGACGGUCUCUCCAUCCAUCCGUCAGCUGCUUCUCCUGGAGGCUGAACUGAACUAGUUCUGGUACAGAGUGAAAACGAAAGUACCAAUACUCCCGAGUUUAGUUUUUUAGGAAAAUCACAUAUAAAAAUUGAGAAACACAUGAAAAGAAAACUAUUAUAAAAAAAUACUCUAGUGACCAAUCCAAUGUAUAGAUGGGUAGAAAGUCAAAGGGAACGAAGCAGAGAGUUUGCAAUCAAAACAGACGACAGUCAGCGACAUUCAGUAGUGAGUGAGCAACAUUAGUUUCCUUGUUUACCUGAAAAAUUUUACAUGUAGCGUGUGUGUGUGUAUGGAGGAGUGUAUCGUCUACACAGCUAAAGUUGAACAACACAAUUUAAGGACAAACUAUACAGUAUAUUAAGACUUUUUAUGUACAACUUCUAAACUAAAAUUAACUACGGAUUGGUCAGACAUUUCUCUCUUUCAACUGAGCCUAAAAACUAAAUAUGUCACUUUAAAUGUCUCCAUGUAACAUAUCAAAGUGUGUACAAAUAUCAAACAAACAGCAGACUCUUCUGUAGCUGUAAGGAGGCAGAGGUACGGUGGCCCAGAAGGGCCACACAACACAACACACCAACAAAAGUCACAACGAAAAGAGGAGGGAUUAUUUUGAAAAUAAAAUACUCUGUAGUCAAGGCGGAUCGUAAUUCCAUCCUUUUACGGAGGUUACCCCUGACAGGAAAACACCAACCUUCGGGGGCCUCCAGCGGAGUAUUUUAUUUACUUUACUUUUCAGUUGUGACUAUUGUUGGUGUGUUGUGGCUUUUGUUGGUGUGUGUUGCAACUGUUGUUGGUAUGUGUUGUGACUUUUGUUGGUGUGUGUUGUGUGGCCCUUCUGGGCCACCGUACAGAAGUGUUUAUAUGUGA
rnacentral:lncRNA from 1 species